UUGCCUCAGUAACGGCGAGUGAAGCGGCAACAGCUCAAAUUUUAAAGCUGACGUCUUUGGCGUCCGCGUUGUAAUUUGGAGAGGCAUCUUCGGUUUGGGCGCCAGCCUAUGUUCCUUGGAACAGGACGUCACAGAGGGUGAGAAUCCCGUGCCUGGCUGGCUGUCCCUUUCCAUGUGAAGUGCCUUCGACGAGUCGAGUUGUUUGGGAAUGCAGCUCAAAAUGGGUGGUAAAUUUCAUCUAAAGCUAAAUAUUGGCGGGAGACCGAUAGCGCACAAGUAGAGUGAUCGAAAGAUGAAAAGCACUUUGAAAAUAGAGUUAAAAAGUACGUGAAAUUGUUGAAAGGGAAGCGCUUGAGACCAGACUCGGCCGGAGAUGAUCAGCCGUCCUUCUGGGCGGUGCACUCGUUUCCGGCCGGGCCAGCAUCGGUUGAGACGGCGGGAUAAAGGCCCGGGGAAUGUGGCUCCUUUCGGGGAGUGUUAUAGCCCCGGGCGCAAUGCCGCCAGCCUCGACCGAGGACCGCGCUUCAUUGCUAGGAUGCUGGCGUAAUGGUCUUCAGCGACCCGUCUUGAAACACGGACCAAGGAGUCUAACAUCUAUGCGAGUGUUUGGGUGUCAAACCCUUGCGCGUAAUGAAAGUGAACGGAGGUGGGAACCCCUCGCGGGGCGCACCAUCGACCGGUCCUGAUGUCUUCGGAUGGAUCUGAGUAGGAGCAUAGCUGUUGGGACCCGAAAGAUGGUGAACUAUGCCUGAAUAGGGUGAAGCCAGAGGAAACUCUGGUGGAGGCUCGCAGCGGUUCUGACGUGCAAAUCGAUCGUCAAAUUUGGGUAUAGGGGCGAAAGACUAAUCGAACCAUCUAGUAGCUGGUUCCUG
rnacentral:rRNA from 1 species